rnacentral:rRNA from 1 species
UACGGAGGGGGCUAGCGUUGUUCGGAAUUACUGGGCGUAAAGCGCGCGUAGGCGGCUUUGUAAGUUAGAGGUGAAAGCCCGGGGCUCAACCCCGGAACUGCCUUUAAGACUGCAUCGCUUGAAUCCAGGAGAGGUGAGUGGAAUUCCGAGUGUAGAGGUGAAAUUCGUAGAUAUUCGGAAGAACACCAGUGGCGAAGGCGGCUCACUGGACUGGUAUUGACGCUGAGGUGCGAAAGCGUGGGGAGCAAACAGG